UAAUCAUUAACUGCUAAGGACCACAACAUUGUUCAUUUAGAAUUGACACAAACACAACGAAUGUUAAAACUAUAUUGUAAAUGCAACAACCGACAUGGGACAUUGUUGGAUAAUAACUCACAGCAAAUGAUAGAGCAAUAUUACACAAGGACCUGAGUCCUAGGACCAUGCCUCAGGACUACCUGGCAUGAUGACUCCUUGCUGUCCCCAGUCCACCUGGCCGUGCUGCUGCUCCAGUUUCAACUGUUCUGCCUGCGGCUAUGGAAUCCUGACCUGUUCACUGAACGUGCUACCUGUCCCAGACCUGCUGUUUUCAACUCUCUAGAGAGACACUCGCUGACAUUUACUCCUGAGGUGCUGACUUGCUGCACCCUCGACAACUACUGUGAUUAUUAUUAUUUGACCAUCCUGGUCAUUUAUGAACAUUUUAACAUCUUGGCCAUGUCUGUUAUAAUCUCCACCCGGCACAGCCAGAAGAGGACUGGCGACCCCUCAUAGCCUGGUUCCUCUCUAGGUUUCUUCCUAGGUUUUGGCCUUUCUAGGGAGUUUUUCCUAGCCACGUGCUUCUACACCUGCAUUGCUUGCUGUUUGGAGUUUUAGGCUGGGUUUCAGUACAGCACUUUAUCAGUUAUCAGCUGAUGUACGAAGGGCUAUAUAAAUACAUUUGAUUUGAUUUAGUGAAGACAUCUAAACUAUGAAAUAAUACAUAUGGAAACAUGUGGUAACCAAAAAAGUGUAUAUUUGAGAUUCUUCAAAGUAACCACCCUUUGCCUGGAUGAUAGCUUUGCACACUCGUGGCAUUCUCAACCAGCUUCAUGAGGUAGUCACCUGGAAUGCAUUUCAAUUAACAGGUGUGCCGUAUAUUAAAAGUUAAUUUGUGGAAUUUCUUUCCUGAAUGCAUUUGAGCCAAUCAGUUGUGUUGUUACAAAGUAGGGGUAGUAUACAGAAGAUAGCCCUAUUUGGUAAAAGACCAAGGAUCGGAGUAAAAUCCAGACCUUGCCUCGUAACAAGUUAUGUCCAGAGAACUUGCCCUAAAAGGUGGAAAUGCCCAUUUCUGACCAAAGAGUAUAAAACAUGUGAGUUAAGAAUUAUGACUAGGUGACCACGAGCUGCAGCCAAGGUCCAAUUAGUUGUAACCCCAAAACGCAACACCAGGUUGAAGACAAAGGAACCUUUUAACAAUCUAUGCUACGGAUGAGUAGCUGUGUCUAAGAAGGUGAAUUCAAGCAGGACCACCCGGUUAUUCUCUCCAAGGAAUCGUGUGUCUACACUGCUUUCAUUCCCACGCUGGAACCACCUAUAUGGCUGAUUAGCCAUCCUCAGAAAACCCCUCUUUCAGAACAAGGGCGAGGAAACGGAUCACUAAGACAAAGGACACUGACAUCUUGAGGACAGCGUUACACCCGGUAACCAAAGAAGUGCCGUCAGAGGAGAAGGCAAACCUGGUCCACAAAGAGACACCCCAUCGGAGACAGACACGUAAUUACAUCAUUAUAUUCUGACCCAUAAGAGCAGCAGUUUGGGGCAAGGUUAGGUUUAAAAUAAGCAAAGUUUACAAAAUGUACCCAAGUUUGCUUUUCUUUCUCUUUUGAAAUCCCCAUUUUGUGUAACUCAUAUUGCGUUGGCCCACUAGGGACCCGUUUCAUUGUACUAAGUUCUAAUCAAUAGUCUAGACUGUAUGUGUAUCAUUUUAGCUUCUAGUAAAUUAAUAAUCAUCUCAGUUGGUGUGGUACAAAGUUAUUUAGUGGGACUCGGGUUAGUGCAGAUUGACAGAUUAUGUGACGAUCAGAAUGCGACAGAGGAAAUUAAUUAGCAACUGUUGUAAAAUCGAUAUUCUGAUAGAUAAUUAGUUAAUUUGGGAAAUAGAAACUCAAAGCCAAACUAUCCCAUGAUGCCCCAGAUUACUGAGUUAAUAAUUACCCGAUUUAAUUUAAUCACGUAAUUAUAAACAGUUAAUCAUUUCAUGAAAAGCAGUCGUCACAUCAAUCAAUACAACAUCACAACAGUGGUUCCCACCAUGAAGAAUGGAGGUGGUGUGAUGGAGCUUUGCUGGUGACACUGUCUGAUUUAUUUAGAAUUCAAGGCACACUUAUCCAGCAUGGCUACCACAGCAUUCUGCAGCGAUACACCAUCCCAUCUGGUUUGCGCUGAGUGAGACUAUCUUUCGUUUUCAACAGGACAAUGACCCAACAACUCCAGGCUGUGUAAGGGCUAUUUGACCAAGAAGGAGAGUGAUGGAGUGCUGGAUCAGAUGACCUGGCCUCUACAAUCACCCAAUGAUUUUCAGAUGAUUUGGGAUUAGAUGGACCACAGAGAGUGAAGGAAAAGUAGCCAACAAAUGCUCAGCAUAUGUGGGAACUCCUUCAAGACUGUUGGAAAAGCAUUCCUGGUGAAGCUGGUUGAGAGAAUGCCAAGAGUGUGCAAAGCUGUCAUCAAGGCAGCUUUGGCUACUUUGAAGCAUCUCAAAUAUAUUUAGAUUUGUUUAACACUUUUUGGUUACUACAUGAUUCCAUGUGUGUUAUUUUAUCAUUUUGAUGUCUUCACUAUUAUUCAACAACGUGGAAAAAAGUACAAAUAAAUUAAAACCCUUGAAUGAGUAGGUGUGUCAAAACUUUCGACUGGUAGUGUAUAUACAAAUUCUCUAAAUGAGAAAUGCUUAUUAACUUUUUAUGGCUGCAGGGGCAGUAUUGAGUAGCUUGGAUGAAAAUGUGCCCAUUGUAAACGGCCAGCUCCUCAGUCGCUAAUAUAUGCAUAUUAUUAUUAGUAUUGGAUAGAAAACACUAAAGUUUACAAAACUGUCAAAAUAUUGUCUGUGAGUAUAACAGAACUGAUAUUGCAGGCGAAACCCUAAGGAAAAUCAAAACAGGAAGUGGCUUCUAUUUUGAAAACUCCAUGUUCCAUAGCCUCCCUUUGCUGGAUUUAAAGGGAUAUGAAACAGAUUCCUUUUCCUAUUGCUUCCUCAAAGUGUCAACAGUCUUCAGACAUAGUUUCAGGCUUUUAUUUUGAAAAAUUAGCCAGAACGAUAACAUCGCGUCAACUGGUCACAUGAGUUUUGCUCGCGCAACAGAGUUUGGAUAGGUAUUGCUUUUCCCUCUCCUACUGUGAAACAAAUUUGCAGUUGAUAUAUUAUCAAUGAGAUAUUUUAAAAACAACCUGAGGAUUGAUUAUCAACGUUUGACAUGUUUCUGUGGACAUUAUGGAAACUAUUUGGAAUUUGUCUGCGUUGUCGUGACCGCUCUUUCCUGUGGAUUUCUGAACAUAUCGCACCAAACAAACAGAGGUAUUUUCGAUAUAAAAAUAAUCUUUAUGGAACAAAAGGAACAUUGUUGUGUAACUGGGAGUCUCGUGAGUGAAAACAUCCGAAGAUCAAAGGUAAACGAUUCAUUUGAUUGCUUUUCUUAUAUUUGUGACCAAGCAACCUGAUGCUAAGUGUACGUAAUGUUUUGUAGUGCGAUCAAUAAACUUACACAAAUGCUUGGA